rnacentral:lncRNA from 1 species
CAUCUGAGUUGGGUCUGUGAUGCUGGGGACCACCUAAGAAAUGGCUGAUAAAAAUGUGACUGUUUUGCUGGAGGAGAAAAUACUUGGUGGGUGGGAGAUGGGAGCGGUGAUGGUUCCAAUGCGAAAGAAAUGGUUCAUCUCGUUUUCUGUAGUGACAGAGGGCAGCCUGAGGACCCGUGACGUGUGUCCUAGGGAGACAAAAGUCUAAGACAAAAAACCGUCUUUUUGUUUGUAAUGGCUGCACCUGCAGCUUAUUGAAGUUCUCAGGCUAAGGGUUGAAUCAGAGCUACAGCUGCAGCCUCCACACCAGAUAUGUAUGAGCCACAUCUGUGAUCUACGCUGCACUUUGUGGCAACACCAGACCCUUAGACCACUGAAUGAGGCCAGGGAUGGAACCUGCAUCCUCACAGAGACUGUGUUGGGUCCUUAACCCACUGAGCCACAACAGGUAACUCCUAAAAAACCAUCUUUAACAGACUAUGCAAUGGGGUGCCUUGUUUCUGUCAAGGGAGGGGUCAAGGCAGAGUGAUGCAGCAAUGUUACAGAAGGCUCUCUCCCUUUGGAUGGGAAGUUGGGCUAGAAUCCCCCUUUGGUCCCAUGAUUCAAUGCAGUGAAGUACUAUUAUGCUUCUCAUUCUGUUUACUUAGUGAUGGCAAAUAAAUGGGUGAAGCAAAACUUCCAGCCCGGGUCACUGUCAAGCUCUUUGUCUCGAGGAGGACACCACACUUGAGCUCCGUGUCCCAGUGCAAUUCUGUUGCCGGAUUGGGCUGCACCAUAAUUUGCUCUUUGAAGAAGUCGAUUGCAAAGAGGGUAGAACACCUUUAGCCUGGAUUGUGAGGGGGUGGAAUUGGAUAUUCCAUUUCAGUGUGAGCGUAAGCACGUGCAUCCUUAGGUCUCAUUACCCCUGUCUUCCCAGAAGGGAGAGAAGACAGGAAAAAAACAGAGGGGUUGUUUGCCCUUAGGAGAGUGGGGAUUGGGAACUACUCUGCCUCUGAGCCUCGUACUCCUCCCCCAGGAGCAGGCAGUGGUCUGGAUAGUGAAGGAAGAUUAGCCAGCAUUUCACACGAACAGCAGGCAUCAGCUUGUCACAGGGCACUGUGGUUAGAACUUGCUUCCAGAAACCUCUGACCGUCUUAGAGCUUACAGCCAAAUAACCAAAGCCUUGCUUUUGAUCAUGUAACGUUGUGAAACGUUUUGGAAAUCAGGGUGUUUGAAAGGGUAUCAUUUCCAAAAAAAUGCACACCCAGGAUUUGAAUGAUUUUCUUUUACCAAAGAAGACCAGAAAUGGAUAUUCCAUUACUGAUUUUUUGGUAUUAACUCAGUACGUAAUUUAUCUAUAUAUUGGUAGACUGAAAUUGAAACACAAUAUGAAAGCUGUGAGUUUGCUUUAUUUGGGGACUCACUGAGGACUGUAGCCUAGGAGACAGCCUGUCUGAUAGCUUGGAACUGCUCUGAAGGGGCAGGAGGAGAGGUCAGUUAUAUAUGUGAUUUUGGAGAAUGGGUAGUACAUGCAGUUAAGCACACUGUUUUUGGUUUUGUUUUGUUUUUGCUUUUUAGGCUGCACCCACCACAUAGGAGGUUCCCAGGCUAGGGGUUGAAUCGGAGCUGUAGCUGCUGGCCCAUCCCACAGCCACAGCAACGUCUGCAACCUACCCCGUGGCUCAUGGCAAUGCUGGAUCCUUAACCCACUAACAAGGCCAGGGAUUGAACCUGCAUCUUCACGGAUGCUAGUCAGAUUCGUUUCUGCCGAGCCAUGAUGGGAACUCCCCAAGCACACAUCUUGUAGAAGGUUGCUGCUAGUCCAGGAAUAUAUGUCUUAGUUAAUGGUUUUAAUGCCUUUCUAAGUAUGGGAAGAUGCAAGAAAUUUAGUUCAUAAAAUUUCUCCUGGAAAUAAUCUAAUUAUCCGAAGGCCUGUUCUACCAGUUUUCCCAGAGCACAAAAUGCCCCAUUCCUGAUUCUGCCCCGAAAUCCUUCGAGGGUGUGUUGAAGGUCAGUGACUUCUGUGGCCGAUGACUCAAUCCUUGAAUUGGGUGGCAAAGGACUUCUUUAGUUGGUGUAUUUUCCUGGGAAAUUUUUAAUUAACUGGAACCAUAUGCCGUCUGGUCUUCAUGUAAGUUGUUUCCAAGGCUGAAAGCAAAACUUGUUUUUCAAACAAAACAUGACCAAGUAUGUGGGUGCAGACCCUUAGGCCUAAUGGAUUAAUAAGUAGCUGUGUUGCAUGCUGCUAUUUCAAACCCAUCAGUUAAUACUAAGUUGCUUUUUUGGACAACCAGUGGUGAUGAAUAAUGUGGCUUUGAUCUUUCUGCAUUGACGUCUUAUUCCAAGGUAAGCAUGCUGCUGUGACGAUUAAAAAAUCUGUUCACACUUGUGUUAACGGAUUUGGGGAAAUAUCAAUAUGUUGAAAGACAAAGAUGUUUCAGAAUUCUAUAGAGUCCCUAUUUGCAAGAGGAAUACGGCACAUAUGCCACUUUCAGGAAGCCAGGAGAGGAGGAAAUGGAACUCAUAACAGUUGAAUGUCUGUUACAUUCAAGGCAGGUCUUUUAUCUUCAUUUCCCCAUUUUAGCCUCACAAUUCCCCAUUUUCUACAUAAAAAAGCACCAAAGAGCAGAGAGCUUAAUGCAUUGGUCAAGGCGCGGAAUUUGUAAUAAGGAAGCACCCAUUCACACCUAAGUCUGGCUCCUUCCAAAGCACAUACAUCUUGAUGCGUAUGUCUGCUUUGUGUCUUUUCCCAAACUGUAUAUUCUUUUCUUAGUGAACAUUUCAAAAAUAAACCUUAAAAUAGCCUUUGUUGACAAAAUGCUUGGCAGUGCUUUGGUCUUUUAUUCUUCCCCAUUCUUGGUAGAAAUCCGAGUUCUCUCUUUCCUAAUGGAGCCUCAAGAAUGGCAUCUGUUUGCAUUGGAUUUUUAGCUGUUUAAACGUACACCAUUUUCGGAGCUUCCGCUGUGGUGCAUUGGGAUCAGCAGCAUCUUGGGAGCCAGUGGGACAGGGGUUUGAUCCCUGGCCUGGCACGGUGGGUUCGGGAUCUGGCAGUGCGGCAGCUGCGCUUAGGUUGAGACUGUGGCUCUGAUGUGCUCCCUGGCUCAGGAGCUCCAUAU